CACAAAAGCAGGACAGUCAGACUUUUGUGGCCAAGAUCUCCUCACCUCCUUGGUUCCCAAACCCCCUGGGUGUCAGUCCACCCACCCCAUGAGUGCUCCUGGGGGUGGAAAACUCCAGGGCCCUGGGAGAAUUUCAGGAGAAAGAAGGCGUUUAGGGCAGAGUGAAUUACACUUUUAAGAACAAGAGGGCACCGUGCCCUCAGAUGAAAAUUGUUUCAUAGAUUGCAAACAAUUCCUGUAAUGCCUGGGUUUGACCUCCUGUAACUUUGUCUCCCAACUAUAUGAGAUAGACCCUUCAGAGAUGACCAUCACCUGCCUGGCAAUAUGGCAGCAGCGAUCAGUGCUGCCAGCUCAAUGUCCCACCACAAAUGAGACCUGCUCUUCUGUAAACUCACCUGUAAACAAAAUGAUUCAGUAGCCAAGGAAACCAUAUGCAGCCGUUAGUCUUUCUAAAGAUUAACUUCUUGAAGUGACCAGGCCAUGACUCAUGACCCAACCCCACCCCUCAGUCUGCUGUGACUCAUCGAAGAAGCCAGAUAAACUGAACGCUGAACGACAGCAAUGGGAGAGGCUAGCCUGCUGGAGGAUGACAGUCAUAUACAGCAGAGCCAAGCCAUCCAGGCUGAGGCCAUCCGAGACCAUCCAGACCCCAGCCCACCUGCAAGUUGACUACAGACAAUGAGUGAGCCCAGCUGAAAUUGGCCAACUGUGGUCCAAGUUAUUAGAACUCCUCAACUGAUCUGCAGCCUCAUGAGAAAAACAAAUAACAAAAUUGCUGUAUUAAGCUGCUAAAAUUUGUGAUACUUUGUUAGUUUGGCAGUAGAUGACUGACAUACUACCCUUAUGCAUUUUAACUCAACUAUCUGGGCUGACGUUUUUUGAUUAAGAGAACUCAUGCCAUAUGUUUCAGGAGACCAUAUUUCUAAACGUUGAGUCCUCUCAGUUCUCAAUAUGUUAUUGCUUAAAGGCCCUUCAAAGUUGGAGAAAGUUAAGCUCUUAAAGUAUGUCACUUGAAUUUGUUAAGAGGAAAUUUUACCCCUAUCUUGCUGUAAUAGGUUAUCAGACCUAGAUGAGAUCAGGGCCAGAACCAUUGUAUUAGUUUGCCAGAGCUGCAAAGUAUGAAAUGUCACAGACUGGGUGGCUGAAACAGCAGAAACUCAUUUUCUCACGAUUCUGGAACUAGAAGUCCAAGGGCAAGGUGGCAGCGGGGUUGCUUUCUUCUGAGGCCUCUCUCCUUGGCUUGCAGGUGACUGUCUUCUCCCUGUGUCUUCACGUGAUUUUUCUUCUGUGCAUGUCUGUGUCCUAAUUUCUUCUUUUUAUAAAGACACCAGUCAUAUUGGAUCAGGGCCCGUCCUAAUGACCUUGUUUUAACUUAAUUACCUCAUUAAAGACCAUGUCUCCAAAUACAGUCGCAUUCUGAGAUACCAGGGGUUAGGACUUCAACACAUAAAUCUGGAGGGACGCAAUUCAGUCCAUGAGACCCAUUUAUGUGCUGUCUGUUGUUAUGUUCCUAAAACACAGCUCUGAUUAUAUUACUACCUUGUUCAAAAUCUUUCUAUGGUUCUGAAUUAUAUAUAAGACUAGAAUAAAGAUUGAUUUUCCCUGAUCCUGACCCCUCCAAUUGCAUCAUUAUCUUAAGCCAAUAUUCAAAGCUACCCCAGACUUCUUUUCUAUCUUUAUUUCCAAUUAUUCACACAACCAUGACUGACACAUAUUUGCCACUCUAGUCUACUUUUCAGUUCCCUAAACACACACAAACACACUGCUCACCUGUCUCUGUUCCCUAAGUCUGGAAUGGCUUUUCCCACAGCAUCGUCAACAUCUUUUCAAAUCCUAUAACCUCCGAAACUUCUUCCAGUUUACUACUCCAAUCAGGUUGAAUCUCUUCCAAGUAUUCUGGUAUCACAUGGCACCUCCAUUGCUGCACCUCUUAUGGUCUUUCUAUAUUAUGACUAUGUUGGUUACUCAUGUGAGCUGGAGUUAUAAUACAUUCACUUUUGCAUUUCCAACAGUGCCCACUACAGUGCUAUUCAUAUUGCAGGUACCUGUGGUAGAAACUACUGUGGUCACCAUUUUCCAUGUUACCCUCUUUUUCUUGGGCACAGAGCCUCCCUUGUGGCUAAGUGGGGACACGUGAUUGAAUUUUUGCCAGUAGGAUAUGUACAGAAGUACUGUAUGACAAAUUUCCAAUGUAUGGGUGUGUCAGUCAACUUCCUGUUUACUCCCAGAUGUAUCUACUGCCCUUCUCCUAGUCUACUAUGUAUUACAGGACUCAUUUUCCAAAGAUCCCUUGCCUUCUAGAUUCUGGGUAUGUUCAGGCAAAGGGAGAAACCAGCUGAAAAUUGGAGAGUAGGAGGCAAAGGGAAGCCAGCAUAUUUCUCUCUCUCUCUGCUUCCUAUGCUGUCUCUCUUGGCAGACACAUUUCCUCCAUGAUUCCAAGUUCAUUGGACAAGAUCCUACUAUGGAUCUUCUUCCUGUUGGAUCUUCUAGGUUCCUGGACUCUGGCAAAAAUACCAUGCCUCUCAUUGUCCCAUCAGCC
ensembl:lncRNA